CCUACGGGAGGCAGCAGUAGGGAAUCUUCCACAAUGGACGAAAGUCUGAUGGAGCAACGCCGCGUGAGCGAUGAAGGCCUUCGGGUCGUAAAGCUCUGUUGUUAGGGAAGAACAAGUACCGGAGUAACUGCCGGUACCUUGACGGUACCUAACCAGAAAGCCACGGCUAACUACGUGCCAGCAGCCGCGGUAAUACGUAGGUGGCAAGCGUUGUCCGGAAUUAUUGGGCGUAAAGCGCGCGCAGGCGGUCCUUUAAGCCUGAUGUGAAAGCCCACGGCUCAACCGUGGAGGGUCAUUGGAAACUGGGGGACUUGAGUGCAGAAGAGGAAAGCGGAAUUCCACGUGUAGCGGUGAAAUGCGUAGAGAUGUGGAGGAACACCAGUGGCGAAGGCGGCUUUCUGGUCUGUAACUGACGCUGAGGCGCGAAAGCGUGGGGAGCAAACAGGAUUAGAUACCCUGGUAGUCCACGCCGUAAACGAUGAGUGCUAAGUGUUAGAGGGUUUCCGCCCUUUAGUGCUGCAGCUAACGCAUUAAGCACUCCGCCUGGGGAGUACGGCCGCAAGGCUGAAACUCAAAGGAAUUGACGG
rnacentral:rRNA from 1 species